GAUGAAGAACGCAGCGAAAUGCGAUAAGUAAUGUGAAUUGCAGAUUUCCAGUGAAUCAUCGAAUCUUUGAACGCACCUUGCGCCCUUUGGUAUUCCGAAGGGCACACCUGUUUGAGUGUCAUGAACUCCUCAAUCCUACCAUUUUUAAUCGAUCUGUUAGGGUUGGAUGUUGAGUGUUGCUGGACUUCAUGUUCAGCUCACUUCAAAUUUAUGAGCAGGCUCCUACCUUUUCGGACUGACUCAACGUGAUAAAGAAAUAUCGUUGAGGACGCUUUGUGCGGCCGAAUUUUAGGGAAAUGCCGCUGCUAGUUGACAUUGUAUUUUAGACCUCAAAUCAGGUGGGACUACCCGCUGAACUUAAGCAUAUCAAUAAGCGGAGGA
rnacentral:misc_RNA from 1 species